CUAAAAAUUAUCACAGUUCAGUCAAAAGCCGAUAAAAUUGCAAAUUCUUGAAACCCGGGGUUUUCUCCUCAAGAUUCCUCGGUUUUUCUGCUAACCCUUCAACCCAGGUAAAAGUUGAUUUAUACCCCUGUUGCUGAACAUCAAAAGGAAGCCAAGAUGCAAACUGAAAGUGCUCUCUCUGUGCUUGGUUCAAGGCCAAUGGAAAUAUCUACUGUUCCAAAUAUUGGUCCUGAUACUAAUGGAAAGCAGCGAAAAUCAAGUUUGGAAUCACCUAUAAUGCUGCUGACUGGCCAUCAAAGUGCCAUCUAUACAAUGAAGUUCGAUCCAGCAGGAAACAUCAUUGCAUCUGGUUCUCAUGAUAAAGAAAUAUUUCUGUGGAAUGUACACGGUGAUUGCAAAAACUACAUGGUUUUGAAAGGACACAAGAAUGCAGUUUUGGAUGUACAGUGGACUACUGAUGGCUUGACAAUAGUCUCAGCUAGCCCAGACAAGACAAUUAGGGCAUGGGAUGUUGAGACCGGAAAACAGAUAAAAAAGAUGGCAGAACACUCCUCCUUUGUAAAUUCUUGUUGUCCUGCUCGAAGAGGUCCUCCUUUAAUUGUCACUGGAUCUGACGAUGGUACUGCUAAACUUUGGGAUAUGCGUCAAAGGGGUGCAAUACAAACUUUUCCAGAUAAGUACCAAAUUACUGCAGUGAGUUUUUCUGAUGCAUCUGAUAAGAUUUACAGUGGAGGUAUAGACAACGAUGUCAAAGUUUGGGAUUUGCGAAGAAAUGAAGUUACUAUGACACUUCAAGGCCAUCAGGAUAUGAUAACUGGUAUGCAGUUAAGUCCAGAUGGUUCGUAUCUUCUUACUAAUGGCAUGGACUGUACACUUCGCAUAUGGGAUAUGCGUCCAUAUGCCCCUCAGAACCGAUGUGUGAAGAUUUUAGAAGGUCACCAGCACAAUUUUGAAAAGAACUUGUUGAAAUGCAGCUGGUCAUCUGAUGGAAGCAAGGUCACAGCUGGAAGUUCUGACCGCAUGGUUUACGUAUGGGAUACAACUUCUCGGCGUAUACUGUAUAAACUUCCUGGUCAUACUGGAUCCAUAAAUGAAUGUGUCUUCCAUCCUAGUGAACCUGUUAUUGGUUCUUGCAGUAGUGAUAAGCAGAUUUAUCUUGGUGAGAUAUGAAGAACAUUCAGUUUUGGGACAUCUUACCUGCACAUUUAGAAUGUUGAUAGUUUGUUGUGACAUCCAUCAGGGGCCAGCAUGAAGGUCUGCAGAAGUGCUUUGCUCAUUUAAACUAUAGAUAUCUCCUGUUCAGACAUGGAAGAUAAUGAGUUUUAUGUGAAAUAAGAACACUGAAAUAUGACGGAACAUAUUUGACUAUGUUUGCUUGCACUACUAGAUACUAUUACUCAAUCCUCUAUUGAAAUUAGCACCCGCUUUCCUUGCUCUUUUUCCCCUGUCCAUUGCAUGAUUUCUUUUUCAUAGAUGCAUGCCUUCCAGAGCAACAAACCUAGUUGUAUUGACCAAAUAACCAUUUUUCUGAAUACACGAGUACAACAUCUCCCAUUGCGCGAUUGUGAUACUAUUUUCUUUCAAGUUAGAAUUUGCUGCUGUCUGAUAUGCAUUGGACUUGGGUGUAAUGAAUUCUAAUCUUUGAUCGAGCAAAAUAAUGAUAAAAUAAGUUACAGA